CAACUGUAAUCCAACAGAUCAGGUGAAUGCAGAAAAAACAGGUAAGAAUGAUGUUGUUAUCAUGAUUAACUUUUACAUAAACACAAACCAGUAGACAUUAUUUAUUUAGGCUUGACAAGUUAGUGGACAAACCAGUAGAAUCUGAGCUUAUUACAAGUUUUCAAUCUCUCAUAAUUAAAUGGUUGGUAUAUACGUGUUUUUGGAGAUGAUAAGUUUGAAUAUUUCUAUAACUAGACUGGGCUACAGUUGCAACAUUCAGUAGUUAUAUGGUGAUGAUUGGUAUAUAAAGCUUAUUGGAAGUUAAAAGUCUGAAUAUUUCUAUGGUUGGUGUAUACAACUUAUUGGAACUUAUAAGGCCGAAUAUUUCUAUAACUAGUGCCAGCUUAUUGCAACAUGCAAUAGUUAUAUUUCUAUGGUUGGUAUGUUGGAUCUUAUUGCAACUUAAAAGUCAAAAGACUCUAUGGUUGGUAUACAAAGCUUAUUGCAAAAUAAAAGUCUGAAAAUUUCAAUGGUUCGUAUGUAAAGCUUAUUGCAACUUAUUUAGUGUAAUGUAUUUUUAUGCUUGGUAUAUAUAGUACAAAGGAGUAGUACACGUGGUAGGGGUGUAGCCAAAGGGAUGGAAUUUGAGAGGCUGCGAAAGUAUGGCAAGAUACCACUUGAGAUAAAAGAUGGGAAGACAGGCCCAAGCUGUAACAACAGGACAGUCUACACAACGAGAGUGACGUAGAUCGUCAAGCACUGUGCAGAAAUGAGACAUGUUAGCUUGAGUGUCGUUGACGUAAAGGAAAAAGAUGAACUGAUUGAUCGAGUUCGAGCUGAUUUUGUAUUGGAUUGGACAAAGAAAAAUCAUCGUCGGACAGUCACAACUCAGCUAUCACGUGCAUACAAUGCGUUUCAUUACAUGUUGUACCGAAAAUAUAGGGAAUAUGCAACACAUGAGGAGGCAUUAGUUAAUGGAGGUUCAAUGGUAGAGAGACCAGUUUGGGAGUGGUUAUGCAGUCGAUGGGCUAGUGUUGAAUUCAAGAAAAUGUCCACUCAAAACAAAGAGAAUAGGUGUAAACAAAGGGUCAACCACACGAGCGGAAGGACAUCGUUUGUUGUACUAAUGGAAAGAAGGAAGGACCGAAAUCUAAUUGAUUUCUACAAGGAUGCGCACUGGUCAAAUAAAAAGGGCAGAUUCAUCACACCAACCACGGAAGAGAAUUAUAAUCAAAUGGUUGAAUUGAUGAAUGCAAACGAACCAGAGUAUCGCACUGAUGAAGCAGCAGCAGCCAUUUUUAGGGAGGUUCUGGGGCAUAGGUCUGGCUAUUCUAGAGGGCUAGGCCACUCUGUUAUGCCAGAAUCAUCUACAGUUCCUGGAGUGACCAAUGAAGAGUAUGAACGCCUUGCUGAGGAAAAUGCACUGAAUCUGAAAAAUGCUGAGUAUUACAAAAAUCGGAUGCCUGAUAUUGAAGGUGGUUUCGCUGCUAUGAGGGACCAUAUGGAGGAGUAUGAGCAACGUGUCAACAUUACAAUGUCAGAACUAAGGACACAAUUAGAGUCUCAGAGAGAGACUCAAUCCACAGAUCCUUAGCCCCAAUGAAUAUGUCAGCAGUUACUCAUGAGUAUUUUGUAUUUUGUAUUUUGACCUACAGCUAUACUUUUGAUGAAGGUGUCAUGGGGAGAUCAGUAGAAAAAAAUACUUUUGUUCAGCACAGCUAGGGAAAUCUUCUAUUGAUGGAGAGGGUCAAGAAAAAUAGGUCAAAUCACCUUCCAAGGGUAUCCUACCGGUAGUGCUGAUUUUAUUUUGCUCUAGGCAAGACCCCAACAACUCUCA